ensembl:snoRNA
CUGGCCCUGAAUCAAGGCUGGCAGUUUGCUGAAGCUGCUGGUUUCAAACAGGAACCUAAUGAAAUGUCUUCCUAUGGUCUGCUGGCCAUUUCAGAAAGUUAGAAAUGUAAUCUUCAAUUCAUUAGAAAGAAACAUCU